UUCAGAGGAACCNGNCCNAUAAUCGAUGAUCCACGAUUUUUUUUNCUUAUUUUAUAAGUUUGCAUAUCGCCGUANAUUGAANGUCCUNUAAGGGAUUUAAACAUUCAAGAGGUUUUUAUUUGUGAAAUUAAAUCAGGNCAANAUGUAGCUAAUAAAUAAGAAGAGAUGGGUUACAAUAAAUUUAUUUAUAACGGAUUAAUAUAUGAAAUUUAUUAUAAAGGNGGAUUUGAGGGNAAUUUUAUAUAAA
rnacentral:rRNA from 1 species